CCUACGGGAGGCAGCAGUGGGGAAUAUUGCACAAUGGGGGAAACCCUGAUGCAGCGACGCCGCGUGAGUGAAGAAGUAUUUCGGUACGUAAAGCUCUAUCAGCAGGGAAGAAAAUGACGGUACCUGACUAAGAAGCCCCGGCUAACUACGUGCCAGCAGCCGCGGUAAUACGUAGGGGGCAAGCGUUAUCCGGAUUUACUGGGUGUAAAGGGAGCGUAGACGGCAGCGCAAGUCUGGAGUGAAAUCCCAUGGCUUAACCAUGGAACUGCUUUGGAAACUGUGCAGCUAGAGUGCAGGAGAGGUAAGCGGAAUUCCUAGGGUAGCGGUGAAAUGCGUAGAUAUUAGGAGGAACACCAGUGGCGAAGACGGCUUACUGGACUGUAACUGACGUUGAGGCUCGAAAGCGUGGGGAGCAAACAGGAUUAGAUACCCUUGUAGUC
rnacentral:rRNA from 1 species